ACAAUGUAUAAUUAUGUAUUUAAUUUUAUAAUUUUGAACCUUAAUGACAAGAAAAAACAAAAUGCGAGUAAGUAUAAAACCAGAAUAAAAUCCUGGAGAAAUCACAUUCCCGUUGAAUAUCUCGUUCUACAAUGUCGAACUCCAGUGAUAUUUUCAUCAAUGAUUCAUCAUGCUCCCAAAUACCGGCAGCGCAACAACUACGUCAAAAUGUUUUGAACUACCUAGAGAGGGAAAGACCGUUCCGGUAUGAUGAAAUAAGAUCGAGUCCAUCGUACUCUCCGAUUCCAGCAGCAUCAAGAGAAAGACCCUUUCAAUUCGAAGAAAGACCGAGCAGCAGCGGCCCUGAAAGAGUUCCUAAUAGUAAAAAACGAGGGACCAAAACUUUGUAUUCGUACAUUAAAAAGCCUGCAAAGGGUUUACAAUCGAAAGUAAUACGGAUCCAAAUCUAUGAUGCAGAAGAUUUAAAAAGUUCUAAAUUAUGUGAGUGUAGGGCUAAUGUAUGCGCUCAGCAUAUUGUUGAAAAUGUGUUUAACGAUGAUAUAUACAAGUGCGCAAAAGAUAUGAUAAGUAAAAUUCAAAAGAAACUGUAAAUAAUUCAUAAAUAAACAAUAUUACUGA